AUUGAACGCUGGCGGCAGGCCUAACACAUGCAAGUCGAGCGGUAACACAGGGAGCUUGCUCCUGGGUGACGAGCGGCGGACGGGUGAGUAAUGUCUGGGAAACUGCCUGAUGGAGGGGGAUAACUACUGGAAACGGUAGCUAAUACCGCAUAACGUCGCAAGACCAAAGAGGGGGACCUUCGGGCCUCUUGCCAUCAGAUGUGCCCAGAUGGGAUUAGCUAGUAGGUGGGGUAACGGCUCACCUAGGCGACGAUCCCUAGCUGGUCUGAGAGGAUGACCAGCCACACUGGAACUGAGACACGGUCCAGACUCCUACGGGAGGCAGCAGUGGGGAAUAUUGCACAAUGGGCGCAAGCCUGAUGCAGCCAUGCCGCGUGUAUGAAGAAGGCCUUCGGGUUGUAAAGUACUCUCAGCGGGGAGGAAGGCGAUAAGGUUAAUAACCUUGUCGAUUGACGUUACCCGCAGAAGAAGCACCGGCUAACUCCGUGCCAGCAGCCGCCGUAA
rnacentral:rRNA from 1 species